UUAGUCUUAUUCCUCUACUGUUGGUCCUUCAGUUUGCUUUUCACUCUUCUAUGUAAUGCUGUAAGAAAUAACUUUUUCCAUAAACUAUUUCCCAUAUAUUGAAUGUAUAACUUAACACAUUCUAAACAUUAAUGUUAAAAAAGACAUAAAGCAUAAAAACCAAGGUAUAUAUUUGAUCAUAUAAAAAUUUAAGCUGGGCACAGUGGCUCACACCUAUAAUCCCAGCGCUUUGGGAGACCAUGGUGGGGUAGAUCGGUUGAGCUCCAAGAGUUCAAGACCAGCCUGAGCAACAUGGUGAAACCCCAUCUCUAC